UUGCACGCUUACUUUGGUUUACCUAUUUAUGGGUACUCAAAUCACCCAUAUUUGGGUAUUGCAUACAUUUACCUAUAUUAUGGGUGAAUUGUAUAGAAAAAAUCAGUAAAUUUCACCCAUAUCAUUAAAUAAAUAACUUUACCGAUAUAUGAGUAAAUUAAUUUACUCAUAUUUGGUUGAAAAAAAAAAACAUGUGCAUUUGAAUCGCAGACCAUCAACAAACUUUAGUUUGGGAAGUGUUGUAAAGAAUCUAAUGUCGGAGAUCGGUAAAUUGAAGCCGAUUGAAACUAUACGAUCAACAGAAACAGCGAAGCCAUGGAACCGUGCAGUAUAUAUCCUGGAGUUUACAACUGCAACGGGAAAAGUGCAACAAGCAUUCUGUUUGCGUUGCAAUACCUGCCACACGUCGGUUCACAAAUAUAUGCAUUUGCUGACCAGAUUGUUUCCAGCCAUCUGCAAAACAAACGAGCUGGUGCCUCUGAAAAAACGCUCCGGUCAAUACUGAAACAGUAGCCAAGCAGGAGUUGGUUAACAUGAGCGGUGUUACAGAAUACGAGCGGAUUUGGGAACGCAGAAUGGAAACCGAUGAGUGAUCCGAGGUAAAAGCAAUCUAAAACAAAUUACAAGCCCACAAUGUGCAGCAUCUCUCAUCCUUUUUACACUUCCAAGUGUGGGCAGUUAGUGCUCUCCCCAGAUGCCCAGAAGUAGUAAAGAAUCCACAGAGAAACACAUCUCAGAAGCCCGUCCGGUACUUCUAUAGUCCUAGUGCAAACCGAUAAAAUGUGGUGACAGUAGCGGAGAAUUCACCUUCGGGCACCUUUGGUCUUCUCAGCGUCUUCUGCUUUUGGAAAACAACCUGCCAAUAUGAUUUCAGUAUGGAAUUUCGAAGACGGAAUCAGAGGAAUCAGCACCGUACCAGUCAUUACGUUAUCAGCUAUCAGGCGUGAAACGUAGUGUUGGAGAAAACGAGAUUUGGGGCAACGACAUACGCAACGAGAAACUCCGUUUAGGCCAUGCAGCAAGCGGGAAUAAUCCGGUAGCAUUACUGCGGUACUAGUAAUUGCUAGUACAGGAGCACAGGCUGACACAGACUAAUACCGCUUGUUAAGUGUCUUGCAGCUUAGCAGGUAGCUGCCGGGUUUCGUGGAGGCUCCGAAGCUAAAAUCCAAUCAAAUAUGGUGGCCCACCAGUAUCCAAAUCAACUGAAAAACUGAAUAUCCCCCCAUUAAGUAAGUUCGAAUUUCAUUCACUGCUAUUCUCACAGUGACACAUUUCCUCCUCGCAGCAGUUGGUUCGACGCUACGGCCUCCGACAUGACUGUACGCAUACACCGUGACACACACAGAUUUGGCCAAAGUACUUCAUCUACUGUUCUGUGGGUGAUUUCUUCAUCAGCUCGUGUUUCAGCGGCUGAUAUCAGUACGGCGCAGCUGUUAAGGCAUUGUAGAUCCUGUUCUGUUUAAUUGUACUUAAGUAUACUUUCAAUAAAUUGGUCCUUCGCUUG